GUGGCGAACGGGUGAGUAACACGUGAGUAACCUGCCCCCUUCUUUGGGAUAACGGUCGGAAACGGCUGCUAAUACUGGGUAUUCACUGUCCUUCGCAUGGGGGGUGGUGGAAAGGUUUUUUCUGGUGGGGGAUGGGCUCGCGGCCUAUCAGCUUGUUGGUGGGGUGAUGGCUUACCAAGGCUUUGACGGGUAACCGGCCUGAGAGGGUGACCGGUCACAUUGGGACUGAGAUACGGCCCAGACUCCUACGGGAGGCAGCAGUGGGGAAUAUUGCACAAUGGGCGAAAGCCUGAUGCAGCGACGCCGCGUGAGGGAUGACGGCCUUCGGGUUGUAAACCUCUUUCGCUCAUGGUCAAGCCGCAACAGUGGUUGUGGUGAGGGUAGUGGGUAAAGAAGCACCGGCUAACUACGUGCCAGCAGCCGCGGUAAUACGUAGGGUGCGAGCGUUGUCCGGAAUUAUUGGGCGUAAAGGGCUUGUAGGCGGUUUGUCGCGUCUGCCGUGAAAUCCUCUGGCUUAACUGGGGGCGUGCGGUGGGUACGGGCAGGCUUGAGUGCGGUAGGGGAGACUGGAACUCCUGGUGUAGCGGUGGAAUGCGCAGAUAUCAGGAAGAAC
rnacentral:rRNA from 1 species